rnacentral:siRNA from 1 species
UGUCGUUGGUGGCUGAAACGAC